CCUGUCCUUCUCUAUGCAAAGUGAACUUCCUCACAGUCUGCUAUAAAGACUUGAUAUCAUGCUGUCAGCUGCAGCAGAAGAAGAGAAGCUCCCAUCAGAUCACCUUCAAUACCAACCAUGUUCUCUGUAGCUCUGCUGCUGCUGCUGGCUGCUGGAUCCUGUGUGAACAGUAUUGAUCUCAUCCAGCCAGACUCAAAGGUUGUGCAGCCUGGACAGUCUUUGACCAUCACCUGUCAGGUCUCUGGUUAUUCUUUGACUGAUGACAGCUAUGCAACAGGUUGGAUCAGACAGUGUGAAGGAAAACCAAUGGACUGGAUUUCUCAUCAGUGGGGAACAAGUGGCCUUCGUCAAAAUAAUGCUCUGAAGAACAAGUUCAGCUACAGCAGAGACACUUCUGCUAGAACAGUGACUCUAACAGGACAGAAUCUGCAGCCUGAGGACACAGCUGUUUAUUACUGUGUACGUGUGCCCACAGUGAUACAAACCACCAACAGACCUGCACAAAUACCCAGAGACCAUCAUCAGAGGUCACAUCUCCAGCCUCAGGAUGAUGAACACACUCACUCUUCUGCUGGUUGCUCUCUCUCUGUCCUGUUGUACAGGUCAGAGUAUGGAGUCCAUUCCUUCCAGUUCAGUAGUGAAAAGGCCUGGGGAGACUCUCAGUCUGUCCUGCAGGGGAUCUGGCUUCACAUUCAGCUGCUGCACUAUGAACUGGAUCAGACAACCUGCAGGAAAAGGACUGGAAUGGGUCGGGGUUGGCUUCUCCAGCUCCAGUAG